UACGUAGGGAGCAAGCGUUGUCCGGAUUUAUUGGGCGUAAAGGGCUCGUAGGCGGUUCGGUAAGUCGGGUGUGAAACCUCCAGGCUCAACCUGGAGACGCCACCCGAUACUGCUGUGACUUGAAUCUGGUAGGGGAGCACGGAAUUCCUGGUGUAGCGGUGAAAUGCACAGAUAUCAGGAGGAACACCGGUGGCGAAGGCGGUGCUCUGGGCCAGUAUUGACGCUGAUGAGCGAAAGCGUGGGUAGCGAACAGG
rnacentral:rRNA from 1 species